UUAAGCGACUAAGCGUACACGGUGGAUGCCCUGGCAGUCAGAGGCGAUGAAGGGCGUGCUAAUCUGCGAUAAGCGCCGGUAAGGUGAUAUGAACCGUUAUAACCGGCGAUACCCGAAUGGGGAAACCCAGUGUGAUUCGUCACACUAUCAUUAACUGAAUCCAUAGGUUAAUGAGGCGAACCGGGGGAACUGAAACAUCUAAGUACCCCGAGGAAAAGAAAUCAACCGAGAUUCCCCCAGUAGCGGCGAGCGAACGGGGAGGAGCCCAGAGCCUGAAUCAGCAUGUGUGUUAGUGGAAGCGUCUGGAAAGGUGCGCGAUACAGGGUGACAGCCCCGUACACAAAAGCGCAUGUGCUGUGAGCUCGAUGAGUAGGGCGGGACACGUGGUAUCCUGUCUGAAUAUGGGGGGACCAUCCUCCAAGGCUAAAUACUCCUGACUGACCGAUAGUGAACCAGUACCGUGAGGGAAAGGCGAAAAGAACCCCGGCGAGGGGAGUGAAAAAGAACCUGAAACCGUGUACGUACAAGCAGUGGGAGCACAGGUUUACCUGUGUGACUGCGUACCUUUUGUAUAAUGGGUCAGCGACUUAUAUUCUGUAGCAAGGUUAACCGUAUAGGGGAGCCGGAGGGAAACCGAGUCUUAACCGGGCGUUAAGUUGCAGGGUAUAGACCCGAAACCCGGUGAUCUAGCCAUGGGCAGGUUGAAGGUUGGGUAACACUAACUGGAGGACCGAACCGACUAAUGUUGAAAAAUUAGCGGAUGACCUGUGGCUGGGGGUGAAAGGCCAAUCAAACCGGGAGAUAGCUGGUUCUCCCCGAAAGCUAUUUAGGUAGCGCCUCGUGAAUUCAUCUCCGGGGGUAGAGCACUGUUUCGGCUAGGGGGCCAUCCCGGCUUACCAACCCGAUGCAAACUGCGAAUACCGGAGAAUGUUAUCACGGGAGACACACGGCGGGUGCUAACGUCCGUCGUGAAGAGGGAAACAACCCAGACCGCCAGCUAAGGUCCCAAAGUCAUGGUUAAGUGGGAAACGAUGUGGGAAGGCCCAGACAGCCAGGAUGUUGGCUUAGAAGCAGCCAUCAUUUAAAGAAAGCGUAAUAGCUCACUGGUCGAGUCGGCCUGCGCGGAAGAUGUAACGGGGCUAAACCAUGCACCGAAGCUGCGGCAGCGAACGUAUCACCCAAGACAACUUUACGGAGUUGACGAUUGACGGAGCGAAGCGACGUCAAAGCGUUCAUUAAAGUCGAGUUGGCUUAGGGAUACGUUCGUUGGGUAGGGGAGCGUUCUGUAAGCCUGUGAAGGUGUGUCGUGAGGCAUGCUGGAGGUAUCAGAAGUGCGAAUGCUGACAUAAGUAACGAUAAAGCGGGUGAAAAGCCCGCUCGCCGGAAGACCAAGGGUUCCUGUCCAACGUUAAUCGGGGCAGGGUGAGUCGACCCCUAAGGCGAGGCCGAAAGGCGUAGUCGAUGGGAAACGGGUUAAUAUUCCCGUACUUGGUGUUACUGCGAAGGGGGGACGGAGAAGGCUAUGUUGGCCGGGCGACGGUUGUCCCGGUUUAAGCGUGUAGGUGUGUGUUCCAGGUAAAUCCGGUUCACUUUAACACUGAGGCGUGACGACGAGGCACUACGGUGCUGAAGCAACAAAUGCCCUGCUUCCAGGAAAAGCCUCUAAGCAUCAGGUAACACGAAAUCGUACCCCAAACCGACACAGGUGGUCAGGUAGAGAAUACCAAGGCGCUUGAGAGAACUCGGGUGAAGGAACUAGGCAAAAUGGUGCCGUAACUUCGGGAGAAGGCACGCUGACACGUAGGUGAAGUGAUUUACUCAUGGAGCUGAAGUCAGUCGAAGAUACCAGCUGGCUGCAACUGUUUAUUAAAAACACAGCACUGUGCAAACACGAAAGUGGACGUAUACGGUGUGACGCCUGCCCGGUGCCGGAAGGUUAAUUGAUGGGGUCAGCGCAAGCGAAGCUCCUGAUCGAAGCCCCGGUAAACGGCGGCCGUAACUAUAACGGUCCUAAGGUAGCGAAAUUCCUUGUCGGGUAAGUUCCGACCUGCACGAAUGGCGUAAUGAUGGCCAGGCUGUCUCCACCCGAGACUCAGUGAAAUUGAACUCGCUGUGAAGAUGCAGUGUACCCGCGGCAAGACGGAAAGACCCCGUGAACCUUUACUAUAGCUUGACACUGAACAUUGAGCCUUGAUGUGUAGGAUAGGUGGGAGGCUUUGAAGUGUGGACGCCAGUCUGCAUGGAGCCGACCUUGAAAUACCACCCUUUAAUGUUUGAUGUUCUAACGUGGACCCGUAAUCCGGGUUGCGGACAGUGUCUGGUGGGUAGUUUGACUGGGGCGGUCUCCUCCUAAAGAGUAACGGAGGAGCACGAAGGUUGGCUAAUCCUGGUCGGACAUCAGGAGGUUAGUGCAAUGGCAUAAGCCAGCUUGACUGCGAGCGUGACGGCGCGAGCAGGUGCGAAAGCAGGUCAUAGUGAUCCGGUGGUUCUGAAUGGAAGGGCCAUCGCUCAACGGAUAAAAGGUACUCCGGGGAUAACAGGCUGAUACCGCCCAAGAGUUCAUAUCGACGGCGGUGUUUGGCACCUCGAUGUCGGCUCAUCACAUCCUGGGGCUGAAGUAGGUCCCAAGGGUAUGGCUGUUCGCCAUUUAAAGUGGUACGCGAGCUGGGUUUAGAACGUCGUGAGACAGUUCGGUCCCUAUCUGCCGUGGGCGCUGGAGAACUGAGGGGGGCUGCUCCUAGUACGAGAGGACCGGAGUGGACGCAUCACUGGUGUUCGGGUUGUCAUGCCAAUGGCACUGCCCGGUAGCUAAAUGCGGAAGAGAUAAGUGCUGAAAGCAUCUAAGCACGAAACUUGCCCCGAGAUGAGUUCUCCCUGAGACUUAGAGUCUCCUGAAGGAACGUUGAAGACGACGACGUUGAUAGGCCGGGUGUGUAAGCGCAGCGAUGCGUUGAGCUAACCGGUACUAAUGAACCGUGAGGCUUAACCUU
rnacentral:rRNA from 2 species